UACGUAGGGUGCAAGCGUUGUCCGGAAUUAUUGGGCGUAAAGAGCUCGUAGGCGGUCUGUCGCGUCGGCUGUGAAAACCCGGGGCUCAACCCCGGGCCUGCAGUCGAUACGGGCAGACUAGAGUGCGGUAGGGGAGACUGGAAUUCCUGGUGUAGCGGUGAAAUGCGUAGAUAUCAGGAGGAACACCGGUGGUGUAAACGGCUUUCUGGACCAUAACUGACGCUGAGGCACGAAAGCGUGGGUAGCAAACAGG
rnacentral:rRNA from 1 species